AGGGGUUUAGUUCAAUUGGUAGAGCAGCGGUCUCCAAAACCGCGUGUUGGGGGUUCGAGUCCCUCAGCCCCUGCCA
rnacentral:tRNA from 1 species